rnacentral:rRNA from 1 species
UACGUAGGGUGCAAGCGUUAAUCGGAAUUACUGGGCGUAAAGCGUGCGCAGGCGGUUGUGCAAGACAGAUGUGAAAUCCCCGGGCUCAACCUGGGAACUGCAUUUGUGACUGCACGGCUGGAGUGCGGCAGAGGGGGAUGGAAUUCCGCGUGUAGCAGUGAAAUGCGUAGAUAUGCGGAGGAACACCGAUGGCGAAGGCAAUCCCCUGGGCCUGCACUGACGCUCAUGCACGAAAGCGUGGUGAGCAAACAGG